GCCAGCAGCUAUCACUCUGCAGCUCUCAUCUGGUCACCCACUGAAGCUAAGCAGGAUUGAGCCUGGUCAGUACCUGGAUGGUAGACCUCCUGGGGAAAACUAAGUUGCUGCUGGAA
ensembl:rRNA 5S_rRNA 5S ribosomal RNA